ACAGAUUUUGUUGACAUUUAAAAUUGCCACCUCCCACCUCAAGAAGCCCAGCUGGUGUGGGAGGCAAGACUGGUCCAGACGAUGGCACCAAGACUACCAAAAAUAAGCUGUCCCAGGAAAAAACGGCUGGAGGUGAGUGGUCUGGUGGGAAGAACACUGGACUAGGAUCCUGGCCCUGGCUUCUGUUGUUCCUGAAUAUGGCUCUCUCUCUACUCAAGAAGCGGAGCCCUGGUGACAAUGGCUAGUGUGCCGCUAGCGUUAUGCUCUCAGAGUCAGCCCUGUGCUGCAAGGUUCCCACAAGGCAAGUGACCUGCUUCCUAAGCAGCUCUACAUUCUCAGUGAGCGGUGGGGAAGUUCCUUCUCUCUGGAACUUAAGAGGUUCAUCUGUGAGACCAGCUUACCCAGCAUUCUACAGUUCCAAGUACAGAAAGGUACCAAGGCCCAAAUUCAAUGCCUGGAGGGACUAAACUUUUAAGACUGAGCUCCUAAAAACAGGUGUCAUGGCCAGGCACGGUGGCUCACGCCUGUAAUCCCAGCACUUUGGGAGGCCAAGGAAGGCAGAUCACGAGGUCAGGAGAUUGAGACCAUCCUGGCUAACACAGUGAAACCCUGUUUCUACUAAAAACAGAAAAAAAUUAGCUGGGCAUGGUGGCGGGCACCUGUAGUCCCAGCUACUCGGGAGGCUGAGGCAGGAGAAUGGCGUGAAUCCAGGAGGUGGAGCUUGCAGUGAGCCGAGAUCGCACCACCGCACUCCAGCCUGGGCGACAGAGCAAGACUCCAUCUCAAAAAAAAAAAACAAAAAAAAAAAAACAGGUGUCAUUACUCCCUCUGAGAACAACGGAUUCUGUAUACAGAGAAUAUCCCUUUCUUGACAGUUCAGCAAAACUUCCUUGAAAAAAAUUUCUGCAACAGAAAGGCUGUUACCAACAUAUUCAUUAUCUAAGUUUGAAAACUUGUGUUAAGUUCUUGACGCAUCACAGACCCAGAGCGGGGAGGGUCGGCACGGCUACAGUACUUCAGACUAAACUUAAGUGCUGGGGUCGCAGGCUGGGGGAGUUCUCAGGGCUCGCAGGGUGCUUGCACACAGUCCCCACUCAGCUUUACCGAUCUGAACUUCCACCUGGGAGAAAAUCAUCUUGAGGGAGCAGAGGACACAGGAGCCUGGACCUGUCAGCACCACCUACUGACCACAGGCUCCACAACAGCCCCACGUAGCUGAUGGAAGCCAUCACCACUGGCAACCCAGCCUGCACACCAGAGAGCAGUCCCACAGAACUCCACAUGGAACCUGACAGGCACUCCUUGAGCACACCGCCCCCAGAGGAAAGUGACCAGGACACAGGCUCAAGCCGGAAUCCAAUGAGCUGAAGGGCUGCUAGCAUAUAAAAGAGAGUCCAACUGCUCUGUCAUACUGGACCCACAAUAGCACUGGCUGGCUGGCAAAGCCGUUAGCUCUCUCUCCUGCCACAUCUCUGUCUAACAGAGCUGCCAGAGACAAGGGCACUUAACCCAACCUGCUUCCUGCCUCUGCAUACGAGAACCCAAGGCUCUACCCUGAAAAUUAAAAAUAUCCCCAGGCUCGGUCUGGCCCGUUUAUACACUGAAGUGAAUGGAUUGACUAUUCAGUGAAAGUUGGGCUCUGAACCUGCCUGCCCUGAGGGAAGCAACACCACAUAUCCUCUCUUUGCUGCUUCCAAGAAGGGCUCUAAGUGUAGGGCAUUAAAGCCCAGCUGCUGGUGAGUAGUGAUAUGAGAAUGAAAGCGUUUUUCUCCUCACAACUCCUUAACCAUCAGUAACUAAAUAAAAUCUAUUUCAAACAGAACAUUUUUAAGAAGUCAAUUCGAGACUUUUUAAGGCACAAAUAAGUACCCACAGAACCCUCAAUUCUAAAAUAAUCAUGUUGGAACAUCCUUGGCUGCCUAACUACAAAGCACAUAUUCCUGCCAACGGACCCCUUCAUGAAGUGGCUUUCAGGGGGCAGGGCUAUAUUGAGGAGACUCAACAUGACCAAGUCUAUAAUCAUAUCCAAAGUAACUAGAUCUGGGUGUAUUCAUGACACCCAGCUUUCGUUUCAGGGUUCCAUGAAAAGUAACUUUUCCCUUGGCUGAAUCACACCAUUACAGGUUAUGCAUAUUAACCAAACUCUCAGAGAGCUAAGCUCACUACAAUUGGGAUGGCUAAACAAUAGGGUGAAUUAUGCUCACAAGACCCGAGAGACUUGCAACCUGUUUCAAGCACUUUCUUUAAAAACUGCAGACAUUUCACACUAAAGGAGGCAGAAGCCAAAAACCUAGACUGGAUGCUGAGAAUGGAUUUGAUUCAAUUUUGGAAAACAAAGUGUGCUACAACCA